rnacentral:tRNA from 1 species
ACCCGGCUGGCUCAGCCGAAGAGCAUGUGACUCUUGAUCUCAGGAUUGUGGGUUCGGGCCCCACAUUGGGUG